rnacentral:hammerhead_ribozyme from 1 species
AUCCAGUCGACGAGCCCCAAAUAGGACGAAACGUGCGUCCUGGUU